rnacentral:rRNA from 1 species
AGUGAACGCUGGCGGUAGGCCUAACACAUGCAAGUCGAACGGCAGCACAGUAAGAGUUUGCUCUUAAGGGUGGCGAGUGGCGGGUGGGUGAGGAAUACAUCGGCAUCUACUUUUUCGUGGGGGAUAACGUAGGGCCACUUACGCUAAUACCGCAUACGAUCUACGGGUGAAAGCAAGGGAUCUUCGGACCUUGCCCGAUUGAAUGAGCCGAUGCCGGAUUAGCUAGUUGGCGGGGUAAAGGCCCACCAAGGCGACGAUCCGUAGCUGGUCUGAGAGGAUGAUCAGCCACACUGGAACUGAGACACGGUCCAGACUCCUACGGGAGGCAGCAGUAGGGAAUAUUGGACAAUGGGCGCAAGCCUGAUGCAGCCAUACCGCGUGGGUGAUGAAGGCCUUCGGGUUGUAAAGCCCUGUUGUUAGGAAAGAAAAGCAGCAGGUGAAUCCCCGGCUGUUCUGACGGUACCCAAAGAAUAAGCACCGGCUAACUUCGUG